rnacentral:rRNA from 1 species
AACGAACGCUGGCGGCAUGCCUAACACAUGCAAGUCGAACGAGACCUUCGGGUCUAGUGGCGCACGGGUGCGUAACGCGUGGGAAUCUGCCCUUGGGUUCGGAAUAACAGUUAGAAAUGACUGCUAAUACCGGAUGAUGACGUAAGUCCAAAGAUUUAUCGCCCAAGGAUGAGCCCGCGUAGGAAUAGCUUGUUGGUGAGGUAAAAGCUCACUAAGGCGACGAACCUUAGCUGGUCUGAGAGGAUGAUCAGCCACACUGGGACUGAGACACGGCGCAGAAUCCUACGGGAGGCAGCAGUGGGGAAUAUUGGACAAUGGGCGAAAGCCUGAUCCAGCAAUGCCGCGUGAGUGAUGAAGGCCUUAGGGUUGUAGAGCUCUUUUACCCGGGAUGAUAAUGACAGUACCGGAAGAAUAAGCCCCGGCUAACUCCGUGCCAGCAGCCGCCGUAAUAC